rnacentral:rRNA from 1 species
AUUGAACGCUGGCGGCAGGCCUAACACAUGCAAGUCGAGCGGAGCGGCGGACGGGUGAGUAAUGACUAGGAAUCUGCCUGGUAGUGGGGGGUAACGUCCGGAACCGGGCGCUAAUACCGCAUACUAUCAGAUGAGUCUAGGUCGGAUUAGCUAGUGGGUGGGGUAAAGGCCUACCAAGGCGACGAUCCGUAACUGGUCUGAGAGGAUGAUCAGUCGCACUGGAACUGAGACCCGGUCCAGACUCCUGCGGGAGGCAGCAGUGGGGAAGAUUGGACAAUUGGCGAAAGCCUGAUCCAGCCAUGCCGCGUGUGUGAAGAAGGUCUUCGGAUUGUAAAGCACUUUAAGUUGGGAGGCGUUACCAACAGAAUAAGCACCGGCUAACUUCGUGGCGGCCGCCGCGGUAAUUC